GGGCGGUUAGCUCAGUUGGCUAGAGCGCAUGCUUGACAUGCAUGAGGUCAGAGGUUCAAGUCCUCUACCGCCCACCA
rnacentral:tRNA from 1 species